rnacentral:rRNA from 1 species
AAUAUUGGUCAAUGGGGGCAACCCUGAUCCAGCCAUCCCGCGUGUGCGAUGAAGGCCUUCGGGCAAUAAAGCACUUUUGGCUGGGAAGAAAAGUCGCCGGAUAAUACCUUGCGCCGCUUAUGGUACCUGCAGAAUCAGAACCGCCUACCUACGUCCCAGCAGCCGCGGUAAUACGUAGGGUGCAAGCGUUAAUCGGAAUUACUGGGCGUAAAGCGUGCGCAGGCGGUUCGGAAAGAAAGAUGUGAAAUCCCAGGGCUUAACCUUGGAACUGCAUUUUUAACUGCCGGGCUAGAGUAUGUCAGAGGGGGGUAGAAUUCCACGUGUAGCAGUGAAAUGCGUAGAGAUGUGGAGGAAUACCGAUGGCGAAGGCAGCCCCCUGGGAUAAUACUGACGCUCAUGCACGAAAGCGUGGGGAGCAAACAG